rnacentral:rRNA from 1 species
AACGAACGCUGGCGGCAGGCCUAACACAUGCAAGUCGAACGCCGUAGCAAUACGGAGUGGCAGACGGGUGAGUAACGCGUGGGAACAUGCCCUUUGGUUCGGAAUAACUCAGGGAAACUUGAGCUAAUACCGGAUAAGCCCGAGAGGGGAAAGAUUUAUCGCCGAAGGAUUGGCCCGCGUCCGAUUAGCUAGUUGGUGGGGUAAUGGCCCACCAAGGCGACGAUCGGUAGCUGGUCUGAGAGGAUGAUCAGCCACACUGGGACUGAGACACGGCCCAGACUCCUACGGGAGGCAGCAGUGGGGAAUAUUGGACAAUGGGCGCAAGCCUGAUCCAGCCAUGCCGCGUGAGUGAUGAAGGCCCUAGGGUUGUAAAGCUCUUUCGCCAGGGACGAUAAUGACGGUACCUGGAUAAGAAGCCCCGGCUAACUUCGUGCCAGCCGCCGCAGUAA